rnacentral:siRNA from 1 species
CCUAACCAAUGUUCUUUUGCAGG